GAAAGGGAUUGUGGGAAGGCGGAGCUGUACGGAAAAACGCAGUGCGGGUUCUCAGUGUGCGCCGCCAUUGCUGCGACUAACAUGGCGGCGUUGCUUGGCAACGGAGUUGAUUGACAUCUCUCACAGCCAAUCAGCGAGGAGAAAAGAGCGAGGCGGCGCUGCUCAGCCAAUCAAGUGCCGAGUUAGCCGGAAAGGGGCUGGACGUGUGGGUGUUUGUAUGGAAAGAAGCGAAAGCGCCUCGGAGCUGCCGGGGCCGUGAUCAUCGGAAUUAAUUAUCGGGAUUAUCAGCAUUAUCGCGAUCGAGGAGCCCUCCGGGUUUCGCCGGGGAUGUUCCACGGCAUCGCGGGCCCGGCCGCGAUGGGCGCGCCCGGGAAUAAACCGGAGCUUUAUGAGGAGGUGAAGCUCUACAAGAACGCCCGGGAACGGGAGAAGUACGACAACAUGGCCGAGCUCUUUGCCGUGGUGAAAACCCUGCAGGCUCUGGAGAAAGCUUACAUCAAAGAUUGCGUCUCCCCCAAC